GAUCAAUUACAAUCAUUCCCUAAGUUUCGUGCUAUUUGUCCUGGACGUCGAAAGAAAAAACAAAAGGCGAACGCCCGACUUUGUGAAAUCGUAAGUGAGGUUUAUUCCCAGGCCUCCGGCUCGAGUACUCAGCAGAAAGACGAAUAUGUCCGCCCUGAAACACGAAACAGUCCAUGUAGAUCGAACAGUCGAGUACGAUACGUUUUGCAUGUAAAUUAAUUCGGUACGCUGGUGGUGCACUUAGAGGAUUUCCAGUAUGAAAUAUAUAAGCUGAAUAUAUUUUAUCGCUUUCAAGAUUUCCAUGAUCCGAUUGUAAUUUUGAUAAUUGAAAACAUAGAUAAUGACAUGGCUAAAAUGGCAUUCAUGGCGGACAGCCAAAGCUGCAGCUGUCUACGAGACAGGACCGAUUCGCCAAUUAAUUCGCGUGUUAGUUAUGCGCGAGUGAACAAAGGAAUGACAUGCUAAGAGGCAGCGCCUUAUACAUGCAACAUGAUGCGUAGUUGAUAUAUAUUUUAAGCAGCACUAGGAAAAAAUUCAUUCGGUUUAUUAAUGAUAUAUUCUCAUUAAAUUAAUAGACGAAGCUCGUUUCGAUCAAUAGAUAUUACAACUUUUAACCGGCAUAAAAUUAUAUACGAAAUAUUUACG
rnacentral:lncRNA from 1 species